rnacentral:rRNA from 1 species
CCUACGGGUGGCUGCAGUAAGGAAUAUUGGUCAAUGGAGGGAACUCUGAACCAGCCAUUCAGCGUGAAGGAUGACGGCCCUCUGGGUUGUAAACUUCUUUAGUCUGGGAAGAAAAGUUUGCAUUUAUGCGAAUCUGACGGUACCAGAAGAAUAAGCACCGGCUAACUCCGUGCCAGCAGCCGCGGUAAUACGGAGGGUGCAAGCGUUAUCCGGAAUCACUGGGUUUAAAGGGUGCGUAGGCGGCAUUAUAAGUCAGGAGUGAAAUUCCACAGCUU